UACGGGGGGAGCAAGCGUUGCUCGGAUUUACUGGGCGUAAAGGGCGCGUAGGCGGCCAGCACAAGUCAGUUGUGAAAUCUCCGGGCUUAACUCGGAAAGGUCAACUGAUACUGUGCGGCUAGAGUGCGGAAGGGGCAACUGGAAUUCUCGGUGUAGCGGUGAAAUGCGUAGAUAUCGAGAGGAACACCUGCGGCGAAGGCGGGUUGCUGGGCCGACACUGACGCUGAUGCGCGAAAGCCAGGGGAGCGAACGGG
rnacentral:rRNA from 1 species